CACCUUUGGAGGACAUUGACUGUAAUAAACUAGAAGGCUGUAACGCAAUGGAACAACAACAAGGACUUCAAGAAAGUUACAAUCAUGCAAAAUGGGCUGUCAUAGCAGUGUUUCUUUCUGGAUGCAUCCUAGCAGCAUACAGAGUAAUUGAAUAUAACAUAAUAAUAUCUCCCAAUGGACAAGGACAAAGUAUAGGUAACUGU